GACGUAGGGCGCGAGCGUUGUUCGGAUUUAUUGGGCGUAAAGAGCUCGUAGGCGGCUUGUCGCGUCGGCUGUGAAAACCCGCGGCUCAACUGCGGGCCUGCAGCCGAUACGGGCAGGCUAGAGUUCGGCAGGGGAGACUGGAAUUCCUGGUGUAGCGGUGAAAUGCGCAGAUAUCAGGAGGAACACCGGUGGCGAAGGCGGGUCUCUAGUACGGUACUGACGCUGAGACGCGAAAGCGUGGGGAGCGAACAGG
rnacentral:rRNA from 1 species